rnacentral:rRNA from 1 species
CACAGCCAGCAAUGGCGGUCGGCGAGGUGCUGCAUGGUUGUCGUCAGCUCGUGCCGUGAGGUGUCGGCUUAAGUGCCAUAACGAGCGCAACCCCUAUCGGUAGUUGCCAGCGGGUCAAGCCGGGAACUCUACCGAGACUGCCAGCGCAAGCUGCGAGGAAGGCGGGGAUGACGUCAAAUCAGCACGGCCCUUACGUCUGGGGCGACACACGUGUUACAAUGGCCGGUACAGAGGGCAGCCACCCAGCGAUGGGGCGCGAAUCUCGAAAGCCGGUCGUAGUUCGGAUCGGAGGCUGCAACCCGCCUCCGUGAAGCUGGAUUCGCUAGUAAUCGCAUAUCAGCCAUGAUGCGGUGAAUACGUUCCCGGGCCUUGUACACACCGCCCGUCAAACCAUGGGAGCUGGGGGGACCUGAAGUGCGUGACCGCAAGGAGCGCCCUAGGGUAAAACCGGUGACUGGGGUUAAGUCGUAACAAGGUAGCCGUACCGGAAGGUGCGGCU